UGAACUGUCUAUUUUUAAUGGAAAACAAUAAUAGUACAAAAUGGGUAGAAACCUACAUUUCAAAAAAAAAAUCCUGAAAUUAUAUCUACAUGUAUGGUGACUCAUCCAUUGGUGAACUUUGAGUGCCCAAAUUCUUGAGCUGAUACCUAAAUAUUAACAAUAAGAGUGGUUGAUCACAUUUGACUGACACCAAACAAUUGAUAAGGAAUGAUUCUGAAGCCAAGUUUACCUUUGGCUGUAGAAAUGUGUUUUCAAAAUUCACUGCACAUGAUUAAAAACCAUAUGAAAACUUAUAAAGGAAAAUAUACAUGUAGUUUUAGAAGGUGUGGUCUUAUUCAAAUUCCCUGCCGUCUUUUACUGUUACGAUUCUUUUGUGACAUCUUUUCCAUUUGGGAUUUUUUCUUUACAGUCACCACCACUACGCCACAAGAUCACAGAAAUAAUGCUCAUCAUUACAUGGUGUCUUGAAAAUAUAGUUAUAUGAUAUAUAGAAAUAAACACAACAACCAUCAAGUGAGGUUAUUGCAUGCAUAAUGGUAUGAUUACUAAAUCAUAUUUCAGGUCAUAUUUCAGGAUUUAUCAAAAUCCAUAAAUAGCAUGAUUUGUAACUUUCUUUUCAAGUAAUAAUAUUAUAUUAAUGAUCAAAACAUUACUACAGAUUCAAUAUGACUUCUUUACAUAUAACAAUAUAAAAAUAGGAUGGCCUAUGCACUAAAAUACAUAGUCAACCAUUAUUUUUCUUGCACUUUUAACACUAAGUUUCUUUAAUUUCAUUUUGACAAACAAUGUCAAGCCUGCAAAUGAGUGCUAAGACAAGGGGAUUAAAUUAUGUUUACAAAAGUUGAUUUGCACAAACCCAAAACUAGUUUGGCAUCUCUAUAGGUGUGAUGACCCAGAGUUUGAGCAAUCCAUAUUCACUGACAACUGUUAUAAGCUACUGAAAUCCUUGCAUCUGAUUAGCUCAGAGCAAAGGUGUCUGUGCAAACCACCCACAAGAUGCUCUAUGAAAAACUUACCAGGGUCCUGUAACACAAAGCCUAGCGAUGAAUAGCAAAUAUGAGAGAACACUUCUGAUUGGUCCUGGUCAGUAUUUUACGCCAAAUGUAGGUGUAAUAUUGAUCUCGAUUGGUCAGUUUAUUUAGCGAUUGAUCGCUAAUCUUUGGGUUACAGAGCCCUGAUCACUUGAAGAGUUCCAUUUUGUCAAAACCAACUCGAUGAGUUGAGCCCUUUUGGCAUUACAAGCAAAUAUUGUUAUCAACAAAAUCAUGCUUGGAGAAGCUUUCAAACCAUCUUUUCCCAAGCCGAUUGCAAUGGCACAAAAAUUGUCAUCAAAUAUGAAAAACAAUACAAUAAACACUUUCAUCACUAUCUCAAUAUGCUUUGGAAAGCCUCUGAAAUUGUUUGUAUAGCUUUCAAAUCAUGCAAGUAUGUCUUUUGAUGGUUCCAAAACUUUGAAAUACGAAAAAUAUUUGAUACUUUGAAGCUGCCUUUAAUUUCUCACUGAUGUGGAUUUUACUCUUAAUGCUCUAUUUAGUUCUUUAUGACAGUGUGUUAACUUUGAUAUGUACUAUGUCAUAAACAUGUUUUAUUGCAUAGGCUUUGCCUCAUAUUUUGUUAAAUACAUGUAGGAGAAGCAUGAUGAAAAACAUCCACAGCACAAAUUUUUCUGAAACUGCUUCAACACGGGCCAAUUCAGAACCACAUGAAUUCAUUAUCAGCCCCAUUAAAGUCAAGAUGAUGGCUAUAUGCAUAGUAUGUCAGAUGGGCUCACACCACUAUAGCUACAUGUAAAUGUACAUCCCAGAACAAAAUGCAAUGUAAUUUGAAAUCAUUGAAACAUGAUUUGUACUGUAAAUCUUCAUCACAUAUUAUUUUGUUAGACGAUGUGCGAAAGACAAACUAAUCAUGGUGUAACUUUCCAUACACAAGACAUAUUCGAAUCAAUCGCAGCUCUUAGUAACUACUUAUUGGUAAGGUGAUAAGGACAUAGUAAAUAAGCACUUAAGGAUUAUUAUCAUUUUCUUGAUCACAUGUGAUCAGCCUUACCAGCAUACAAUGCAUGCACAAACUCAACACGAAGUUGUUGAGCAGACAACACCAUACAAUAGUAUUGAUUUCCCUGAUUGUAAUCCCAAAUAACUUUACAGAAAGAUUAACCUGAGAACUCCGGUCUCUGUAUGCCUGAUACAGGCAAAUAUACAAAUCAUUCAUUAUAUUAUAAGACAAAGAAAAAGAGACUUAAAGCCAACCACACACUACACAAUCUGACAGCAACCCAAAAUUUUAGAAAAAAAUAUGUAGCAUUGUAAUUAAAACAUUCAAAUAUGGAAAACUACGUUGGUCAAAGUACUAUAUCAUAGUAUGGAUGUUUUAAAGUUUUUAGUUAGACUCAAGGCAGCUGCGAGCGUGCUUGCACAGAUCCAUUACUGGCAUGAAAAUUAAUUUCUGAAGUGGAAAGAUGUCGUGUAAGUUAUGUGGUAGGGUUAGAUUGAAGCCGAUUUUACUAAAAAAUAUAUUUGAAAAUAUUUGCAUAACAAUCUUUUGAUUUCAUUACACUUAACAUGAGAGAAUUCUAUUGUCAUUUGCUAAGUCGGGGGGGGGGGGGGGGGGGGGUUUAAACGUGAAUAACAAUCACUCAUAAAUUCCUGGUUGGAAGCAGAAUAGCACAGCACAGCUAGGACCGAGAGGUAUGCUACUUCUACUACUGCAUGCUGCUACUACUGUUGCUACUACUUCUGCUACUACCACUGUGCACAGUAAAAAAUAAGAUUGUGCUAAAUAACUUUCACACAUAUUCAGCUACUUUCCCAUGAUUUAAAAAUUUUAACUAUCAAUGAAACAGCUCUAAGGUCUCGUAUCUGAUCAUGUAGUGUGUGUGCAGUGUACUCUGAUCACAUUUUACCCUGUUAUCAUUACAUCAACAAUCAAACUUUUGCUCUGAUUACAUCAACAGGAAAAUAUACAAACCUUGAACACUUGUAGAAAAAAAAUCGAUUGCAUUUACAAAUUCACUUCACAGUCAACUUUUGUACUGAAUUAGAGUGCAUAUUACAUCCUAACAAGAAAAAAAAUAUACACAUGAAAGACUACACAGAAAAAGUCUAACACUACAUAUGGCCAUCAUUGACUAUGUAGUAACAACCCAUGGUUGGCCGGGUGCUAAAACAAAUUCAGUUGGCUUUCUAAGCUGAAUAUUCUUAAAACUAUCUCAUCAUGCAAAAACUAAUUACACUCUGCCUUGUUAGGCAUAUAAGAUAAUACAUCAAAGAUGUAUUGGGGUACCGUAUACCACAAAGGUUAACAAUUAAUCAUACACUUGAUUGUACAUUGUAGUCAAUGCAAUCAAUCGUAGAUAUAUGAUCUAUGAUCAUUGCUAAGCUUUUUGUUACGGACCCCAGAUGCACUUUAUACAUAGCGAAUGUUUGCUUGCUCACCGGCACGUUCAGUGUACAUUUCCACACCCUGGGGACCAUUCUAUGCUCCUACUGCAUUUCUCAAAUGCUCAAAAUGUUGAUAAAACCACAUGUAGUUCAAACAUUAACAAUCGACCUUGGGCCCAUUCACAAAAGGGUAGAGAGUGGCAAAUGAAAAUCAUUGCCUUGCCGACUAAAAUGUGACAAUUGAAUUCUGAGAACCUUCCAAACAUUAUGGUACUCUGCUAUCACAAACAUUGGUAUCAUUAUCAACCAAAACUUACUGUACAUAGUUCUAAUGAAUUAAAGAAACUCUUUAAGUGUUGUCUUUCCCAAGGUAUAUUAAUUAUUUUCCACAAAUUCAUUUCUUUUCAUCAGUUGUUCCUUAAGUUAACUUCUACUGGUAGUUUCGAAUCCAUAAAAAGGUAAAUGCAUGGUUUUAUAACUCUUAUUUGAAUUUCAUACAUGAUUUCUGUAUUGUACUGGCAGACUUAUAAAAAAAUACAAUAAUGUCCUUCUCUAUAAAAAAUAGCUAUAGAAAUAAGAUCAGGGAAAAUUUCACAAUGAAAGAUCUUCAGACUCUCAGACGUCAUAUGACGACACAAGAAUACAAUUCACACUUUUUUCAUUUCCAUCACAUAAUUACGUCCGCAUUUUGAGGAUGAAAGACAUAUUUCUGAACGAUAUGAAUAUUACUUCUCUCUGCUGUGAAGGCGUAAGAUAAAAACAUGAGCUUUAUUUUAAUGAUAAAAUACUUUAAAAAUUUUGACAAGAGCACAUCCAUGUUGCUUUGGAUCCCUCCAGCACAGACCAGCACAAGCAUUGUCAGAAAAGAAAUUAUAUAACUUUUGGAGAUGUCUAUUACAAGUGUCUAUUCUGUCAUAUUGGAAUGACAGUUUAACACCCAUUAGCCUCACAAAGGCAGUUUCAUUAUUAAACAAUAUCUGACCACCUUCAGGGGCAACCUGAAACCAUACCUGUAUAAGAGUGCUUUAUGACAGACAUCGACUUAUUGUUCAAACAUGUAUUAUAUGUAAUGUGUACGUAGUUUGGUUUAGGUGUUGUUCUGCUCUGAAGUGCCUUGAGCAUCUAAUCAAGAUGGAAAGUGUGCGAUACAAGUCUUACAUGUAGUGUAUUAUCAUUAUUAUUAUUUAUUCAUGUUACAGGUAUAAUGAUGAAAAGAUAUGCACCCUCGAUAAGUAUUAUCAUAUUGUCGCAGUAUUUUAAUUUGUUGAAAAAAUAUGAAAUUGUUGCAUAUAAAUCAUUUCCCGAUUAACAAAUCAAUGAAUGAAAUUAUCAUUUUUUCUUGAAUUACCUCUUAUAAAUGGCUUGCAAGUGAUAAAAUCUUAAAGUAUUGUUUAUUGUUAUAUAAAAAAACUUUUUAAUAUUUUUUUCACAUUUUUAUUUUAAUCUACUAUUCUAUACAUUGCACAUCACUAAAAAGUUUUAAUCUUUAAACAACUAUUUCAUAUCACCGUAACCAAUCGUGUAUGCUCAUUUUAGUUACAUUUAUUUAGAGGCCCAAGGUUAUGUGAUUAGUUAUCGUCAACUAUGUAUUGCAAAACUAAUUGAUAUAUCAUCUCCCAUUUUGUCAACAAGGCUCAAAUACCAUGCUUUUAAAAAAUCUCAAUUUUGAAAAACAUUAUAAGAGACAGAUGUGAUAUUAUUAAUAAUCAUCCAUUGUGGAUUCAAUGACAAGAUACUAAAAUGUCAUCUUCAUAUGUGGUACCCACAAUGGGACAGUGCAUAAAUCUUCUAGAUGUUAUGAAUAAUGGCGCUGCUGGCUUACCAUAACCCUUUGCACACUGAUGUUGCACAUUCGUACAAUCAAAAUCAACAAUAGUAAUAAUUAGUUUCCUCCCCUACCUUCAAUAAUUAGUUUUCUUCCCUAACUUCAAAUUAGCAAGGCUAAUUAAAGGUGAUACUUCUUGGACAGCAUCUAUAUAGUAAUCAUAAGUAUCAAUGGUGCAAUAUGGAAAUCUUGAAUUAAAGAAAAUAACAU